AUGAACGCUGGCGGCGUGCCUAAUACAUGCAAGUCGAGCGAACGGACGAGAAGCUUGCUUCUCUGAUGUUAGCGGCGGACGGGUGAGUAACACGUGGAUAACCUACCUAUAAGACUGGGAUAACUUCGGGAAACCGGAGCUAAUACCGGAUAAUAUUUUGAACCGCAUGGUUCAAAAGUGAAAGACGGUCUUGCUGUCACUUAUAGAUGGAUCCGCGCUGCAUUAGCUAGUUGGUAAGGUAACGGCUUACCAAGGCAACGAUGCAUAGCCGACCUGAGAGGGUGAUCGGCCACACUGGAACUGAGACACGGUCCAGACUCCUACGGGAGGCAGCAGUAGGGAAUCUUCCACAAUGGGCGAAAGCCUGACGGAGCAACGCCGCGUGAGUGAUGAAGGUCUUCGGAUCGUAAAACUCUGUUAUUAGGGAAGAACAUAUGUGUAAGUAACUGUGCACAUCUUGACGGUACCUAAUCAGAAAGCCACGGCUAACUACGUG
rnacentral:rRNA from 1 species